UGGUCCUAAAAAAAAAAGAAAAGAAAAAAGAAAAAGCAGAUUCCUCAAGCAACUUUCCCAUUUCCUUUGCACUAGGAAGAAAAUGGAUGUGUCUUAAGUAGACGGAGCCAGGGCUCAGGAUUUUGUUGGAUGCCAGCCUUUGCCCAUCAGGGCUCCCUUCUGUUUGAGCUGAUGCAAAUUCCAGCCUUUAAAUAGAAAUUCUAAAUUAUUGACUAUCACGGUGAUGGAUUCUCAGACUGUCUGCUGACCACCAAAUUGCUCCGAUUGUCUUCCGAGCGAAGAUUCCAUAAGUCGUUAGCGUGAGCCCACCAAUAUCCGUCAUGUUAACGAUGCGGCUGCAAUCACGCCUUGACACUCAUUACCUUUCCCGACUAAUUCUGAAUGUGAAAUUCCGCUAGUGAUGGAGAUCCACCGCAAAAGGCCCCGUUUUCUCCGAGCAUCCUGUAAUCCUACGGCACCUCCAUGCCCACAUGGCCGUCGUUAACAUUGCACCCCACCCGGCCCCCUCUCCUGUGUUGGCAGCCUGUACAAAGAGAACUCUUUAUCCCAGGAUCCUUGGCAUAAACAUAAUUUUAUCUAGAGAGGUCCCUGAGAGUGAGUUUCCAGAGAAACAGAGUCUGCAUGGAGCGAUUUCUAACUGCAGAGGCAAUCGCAAGGAUGUUUAACCCACAGUUCUUCUGGUCGGGGGAGAGGAGAGCAGGGGGCUUGCGGGAUGAAAGCGCUGUGUUUGGCUCUUUCACACCUGUUACUGGGUAUUAUCCUCCUGUGGGACAGCUGCUGAGAGCCCAUGUCACAGAUGAAGGAUCUGGAGCCUGGAGAUUUUAAGGAGCAGCUGGCAAGCAGAGAACAGCAGAGACUGCGAUCACGGUGGGCAAUGGGCACAUGGGCUCUCAAUGACCCCCGCCUCCUAGUAUAAUGCCCUUGUGUGUGGGUGGGACCCAGUGCCACUUUGCUCUGAGCAGAAUGUGGAAAUUGUAUGGUAGUUCCAUGUUCGGUUUUCUGAGGAACUUCCAUACUGUUUUCCAUAGUGGUUGUACCAGUUUACAUUCCCACUAUGGUGUGAAGUUUCUCCACACCCUCUAUAGCAUUUGCUAUUUGGAGACUUAUUAAUGAUGGCCAUUCUGACCGGUGUGAGGUGGUACCUCAUUGCAGUUUUGAUUUGCAUUUCUCUAAUAAUUAGUAAUGUUGAGCUUUUUUGCAUGUGCCUGUUGGCCAUCCAGAUGUCUUCUUUGGAGAAAUGUCAACUUAGGUCUUCUGCCCAUUUUUCGAUUGAGCCGUUUGUCUGUUUUGUGUUGAGUGUAUGAGUUGUUCGUAUAUUUUGGAGAUUAAGCCCUGGUCAGUAGCAUCAUUUUAAGGAGCAGCUUCUUGUGAACAAUAGAUUUGGAGGGUAGAGGGCAACCUCCAGGUUGGUUCUUGAGGAUCCCCACCUGCUAGCAUCUUGAGGAUGCCCUCCCCUUGAGUGGGGGUGGGGCUCAGUGACACGUGCAGUGAACAGAAGCUCAUUUCAGAGAUUCAGUUACGAAGCAUCUGGCUUCUCCUUGCUCACUUUCCCUCGCUCUCUCUCUUGGUCACUCCCUUCAAUGACAUCAACUGCCAGGCUGUAAGUGGCUCUAAGAAGAGGUCCAUGUGAUGAGGACCUGAGGAUGAGCCCCUGGCCCAUAGCCCUCAAGAAAACGAGUCCUGCCAAGAGCCACAUGAGUGACCUUGAAAGAGCACCUGCCCCCAGUGGAGCCUUCAGAUGAGACCACAGCCCCAGCUGGCAUCUUGAUUCCAGCCUGUGACAGAUCCCGAGCCAGACAACCCAUCUAAGCCAUGGCCAGAUUCUGGACCCAGAGAGACUAUGAAUUCCUAAAUGUGUGUGAGUUUAUGCAUCUGGGUUUGGGAAUAAUUUGGUACCCAGCAAUAGAUAACAAAUACAAAGAUCAAACAUAGGUUAGAGUAACAUCAAAGGUCUGGUUUGUUGGCUUCUCUCUGUGUGUUUUUUAAAUCACAGGAGUAAUAUUACAUUCAUAUCAAUACAGUCUUCUGUAUUAAUUCUUUGU
rnacentral:lncRNA from 1 species